UCGGGAAUUUUGCACAAUGGCCGAAAGGCUGAUGCAGCAACGCCGCGUGAGCGAAGAAGGCCUUCGGGUUGUAAAGCUCUGUUGCCUGCGAAGAAGGGCCCUGUCAGGAAAUGGGCGGGGUUUGACGUUAGCAGGCGAGGAAGCCCCGGCAAACUACGUGCCAGCAGCCGCGGUAAUACGUAGGGGGCGAGCGUUGUCCGGAAUUACUGGGCGUAAAGGGCGUGUAGGCGGCCUGUUAAGUCAGGGGUGAAAGACCGGGGCUCAACCCCGGGGGUGCCUCUGAAACUGGCGGGGUUGAGUGCUCUAGAGGGCAGUGGAAUUCCCGGUGUAACAGUGAAAUGCGUAGAGAUCGGGAGGAACACCAGUGGCGAAGGCGGCUGCCUGGGGAGUCACUGACGCUGAGGCGCGAAAGCUAGGGGAGCAAACAGG
rnacentral:rRNA from 1 species